AACCAGACUCCUACGGGAGGCAGCAGUGGGGAAUAUUGCACAAUGGGGGAAACCCUGAUGCAGCGACGCCGCGUGAGUGAAGAAGUAAUUCGUUAUGUAAAGCUCUAUCAGCAGGGAAGAAAAUGACGGUACCUGACUAAGAAGCCCCGGCUAACUACGUGCCAGCAGCCGCGGUAAUACGUAGGGGGCAAGCGUUAUCCGGAUUUACUGGGUGUAAAGGGAGCGUAGACGGCGGUGCAAGCCAGAUGUGAAAGCCCGGGGCUCAACCCCGGGACUGCAUUUGGAACUGUGCUGCUAGAGUGUCGGAGAGGCAGGCGGAAUUCCUAGUGUAGCGGUGAAAUGCGUAGAUAUCAGGAGGAACACCGGCGGCGAAGGCGGCCUGCUGGACCGUGACUGACGUUGAGGCUCGAGAGCGUGGGGAGCGAACAGGAUUAGAUACCCGAGUAU
rnacentral:rRNA from 1 species